rnacentral:lncRNA from 1 species
UACUAUGUUGCCUAAUGAUCCAAAACACGAUGAUGCUGAAGGCUAACGCAAGAUGGUGAUGAACUAUACCAAAGGGAGAAUCGCUGAGUUGAUCGGUGAUUCCGACUAACUGCGCCGAGUGAUCCGCUGCAGCACAAAUCUUUGAAAACUAUACAUACUCGUUGAGAGUUAUAGCUUAGUAUCAGAAUUAUCAGUAUCAAAUUUUUAGCUUUGAAACAAUCUUAUUCAGACUUUGCUUUUAUUUUUGAGUUCUAUGUUUGGAGAGGGUUUUGAAGAACUUGAAGAUUCAAAGGGUUUCAGCUCCAAGAUUUUGAACUUGGGUCUUGUGGAUUCUUCAUUCUUGGAUUGUUUUGAGACUUAAAUCUUUAUACCCAUUUGAAUACAAACUCAUUUUGGUAUAAAUUUCUAUCUCUUUUACAUGUCUAGCUAAAACCCAAUUCUUGGGGUGUGAUUUUGUGAAUAUGUGUUAGAUUAUUUGUUGGGUC